GCAAAUCAAAUUUCCUUUAACCCAAUUUUGUUCUACACAAGAGAAGAAUUAAACCAAUAUACUGUAUUUUUUUCCAUUUUCCUUUAUCAGGCCUCAAUUCUUUCAAAGGGAUCCUUUUCCUCGUUCGAGAGUCUCCGCCCUUCUUCCACUCCGUCCCGAAGACUAACUAAGACCAAUUGAGUCACGGCAUGUCUACAUGAACCUACAAGAAGCACAUCCAAAACGGGGCUGCUAGUGCUUGUUUGCUAAAGAAAUGUUAAGCAUGAUUCAGGAACAAAAUCACUCUUUUCAUUCCUCUAAACCUCAAUUUUAGAGUGUGGAAUAGUAGCCCACUCUGCCACGCCCCGCUCCGUCGGUGAGUCACCUCCUCUCUGUCUGCCCGUUGUUGGUUGAUUUCGGGGCCACAUUGGGGUUCCAGCCACCUUCCGUGGCCUCAGUCCGCAAUCUGCCAGAUGUUGCUCAUCUCGCCGUCGACAUUCUUCCUCCUCUGUUGCUGGUGCAUUUGGAGGCAUUAGAAGUUCAGAACGACGUCGUGUUCCUAAGAAAAUGGAGUUACAGAGUGCUAAAUGCAAGAGCACAAACACAGGUAAGCAAAUAUAGUAAAGUCUAGAAAACAUAACAAAAGGCUCAAGCCUUGAGUCAUAAAAAGAAAAGAUAGUUCACUGGGUACCAGCUCUUACAGGACUCCUGAAGAUAACAUACCAAGUGUAAAAGCCGCUGCAAAACUCCUCAUGUAGCAAACCACAACUAAUAACCCAGGAAAGUCACCCAGCACACGCACCAAGAAACAAUAGGAAAUAUUGCAUCAGAACUCCUAGCGAUUGCAGUGAUCUCAAGAGGAACAUUGACGAGCAUGCUUUUUUAAUUGACUAGAAAGUAGCAUAAUUAUCUGAAGUUAUGUCCAACAUCCAGAACAGAGUCACUUCUCAAAAUAACAAGUUGUAAUGAUUGAGAGAAAAUAAAUGCUGAACUACAAUUAGAGAUCAAAGAAAAACAAGAGGAGAGUUCAUCAAUGCACAGGAGCUUUACGUAAACCUGUUCUGACAGAUUGUUCUGCCUCACUUUUUUGAGCGAACCAGAGAAUAAUCGAAAGGCUAAACUAGCGAUUUGAGAAGAGCAUGACAAAGCAAUUGAGGAAUAGCAUGGCAAAGUGAAACGUAGGUGGAAGUUGAUUGGAUAUUUAGAAGAGAUAGCAUCAGAUUUGGGGUUGGCGCACCUCAUCCCGUGCACUCGCACCCGACCAAACUUCAAUCCAAACAUUACAGAAUGCCGUCAUGAAGCAGCACAAGAUCGGCCACACACUGCAGCGCCGCCACGAUCACCCAUCACGGCUCCACCGCGAC
rnacentral:lncRNA from 1 species